UAAAUGGAGAGUAAUUCAGAUAAAACAAAAUUUCUAAAUAUUUAUACUAUAUUUUGCUAAAACAGAAGGACAAACCAAGUGAUGAAAUUCAUAUGGAAAAAUGUCAGUGUUCGUUGCUGUGCUUAUUUCAGCCUCUUUUGUCAGUCAUGUCCCUGUAAUCUUCUGUCAUCAGUGGGUACAGUCCAGUAAAGCCCCCUCUGUCUCAACAGUACCAGAACCUAAUGUAGUUUCCAAUAUAGCUAUAUCAUGAAUUAUUAUAAAAUAAUACCGAGUAUUCUGUUCUCAUCAUUCUGUCUCGCUCUCGGCUUUCCUGUCGUUGCGCUGCUUUCAGUCGUGCAUACUUUUUAUCCAAUCAUAUUUCAGCCUCAGGUGUUGCCAGGUUAAAAGAAAUCUGCCCUAAGGCCUUCAGUAGAAUCAGUAGUGCGGUCGCUAGAAGCAUACAUUGAACAGCAACAGCGUUGCUUCUUUAACCAAUCAGAUUUUGAUUGGGCGGUCAAAGAAUACAGUCUUGAAUCUUAACAAAAUGCAUUUUGCGGCUAACACGUUCGAUAGUAACAUUUUCUCUGAGUCCACUGCUUCUGUCGAGCGAACAUUCUCAGCCUGAAGCGAAAUAAAACGUUUUAAAUCGACAGGACUGGACUUUAAUCGUUAGCAUGGACGACGACAGGACCGGGUUGUUCGAACUGGAACUCACGGCUAAUCUGUACAACUGAACUCGUCUAAAGGAAAGCGAUGAGGAGGGAGUUUGUGUACAACUAUUUAGAAGUUUCGUGAGGAUGUUCUGGACGGUGUGAAGGUCUGAGGUGAACUCCUGUUACUGAACGACAACAUGAGACACAUUUUCAUUCAUGCUGAGGAAACCAGGAGUCAAAGAGUCUUCAGUGUGGUGUUCAGGUUUGUAUUUCCCCAAAACUGAGUCAACAUCGAGAAGGAACAGGAUUUCAGUCCUUUGACGAGACAAGGAACCUGGUUCUGACCUGGCGUCGGAGACCUCCUCUGGAAUUCUCUGAUGGGACUGAAGUGGAGGAGACGGACAGACGCAGGAUGGUACUUUGUAGAAUCAAGUUGUUUUGUUUUUUAACUUACAUGUCUUGAAACUUUUUGACUUACCUCGUGUGUGUGUUUGUGUGUGUACAACACCAUCUGCUUGAAGAAACGAAGCUCAAAUCCCCGUUUCAGAAACAUCUGAUCAGUCUUCCAUCUCACACGCCGGCAGCCACAUGAAAGACGCGGCGGUCUCUGAAGAGCCGCGUGUCUGACUCUCACCACAACAACAACACACUCACUGGUGUUCAUCACAACAACACACUCACUGGUGUUCAUCACAACAACACUCACGUGUACGACUGUUGUCACAGAUUUAAUGGUCCGUCCUGUGUUUCAACAAAAAUCUACUUCAAGACGUUUGACUGUUGUUGUUGUUGUUGAUCAACAGACCACUUCUGGUUUGUCUGUAUGUACACUACAGUCAGUCACACUGUCAGCUGUAGGCUGCUCUGACACAGGCCGGGUUGCUGACCAGAGGUUGAAGCACCCACUGACACGUGCUGAGAGUUGAGAUGUUUUGAGCUGGAGUUGCUUCUUUGAAAUGAAAACUUUUCCUGCAGUGUGUGUAAAUAACAACAUGUCAAUCAACUGGGUAUUUAAGUGGACGGAUGGUGGAAUUAUUGAAUAUGAAACACUCGAGUAUAAAAGGCGACAGACGUGGAAAGCUAGAAAUAACCUGUAUCGUGCCGCUUUAUCAUUUUAGGAUAAUCGCUUCAUCCGUGCUGUCGUGAAACUAUGGUCCAUAUCUCUUCUUUUUAUUCUUGUCCCGAUAAAAUAUAGCAGUGUCACUUCCCACGCUGGCGAUGAUAAGCUUUUUCUCUAUUAUUCGCACAUAUUUCUGCUUCACUUCAGGGAGGUGACGUCAGGAUAAACUCGUUGAUGAUUGGAUGACGCGACACGAUGCCGUCUGAAAAGCUAAAAUUUUCCGACUUCAUUUGCGUUGCAUCAGAACCUCCAGUCGCGCCGCCUGUUAUUAAAUCGUGUGUUGUCACUCCAUUUACACUGACAUACAGAUUGUCUUUGUAGAGUUGCCGCUCAGUUGGCUCCUAUCGCGUUUGAUGUGAACGUCCCGUCAUCAUUAUUUUCACUACUAUCAUCAUUAAAAACCUCAUGUUAUUGCUCAGUACGUACUAACCAGAUAAUAGCACACCGAGUUGCCCUGCUGUAUUAUUAACAUGACCUUUGACCUUUGAUUCCCACAGACAGAACUGUACAUCACAGAAAUGUGCUGCCGCUGCAGCUUGCUCCGGUGUUGCCUCAUGUGAACGCUGAGGCCAAUCCUCUUUGACUAAUUUAGAAAAAGCCAAAUUAGUGAAAUCAGGUCAGUGUAUCACUGAGCUCUGGGUCUUAACUUAGCCCGACUCAGCCCGGCACGACUGCAGUCGGGGACGUUCAGUAUUUUUAGACCUCUAAUGCUUCAGCACUGGGCUCACACAGGGGAACAGCUUCGUACAGUACAGUGCAGUAGGCUGCAGUGAAUCAACCAGCAGUCACACGGCUCCUAGUAAAGGUGGUCACGACAGCUUGACCGGUUAACCCAGAAACUGCCUGCUGCGUUUGUGUGUCUGUUAAUGUCGGACUGUGGGUCACGCCACUGCGGGAACAGCGAGCUCCAGUGGACGAACACAAGGCCUUUAGAGCUCAUUUGUGAUUUAAUUUAAAGGAACAUUUUACUGAAAUGUGCUGCUGGAUCAGAACCAGCAGUUUACUUUUUUUUACGUUUUCGUCACUGAUUUUUGGCUGCACCAAAAAUCGAAAACAGUAAUUGUAGCUAGCCAUGUGUGAAAAUACGGUUUAGACCUAACAAAUGGAUUAAAGUGCA